GCCCUUGAGUUUGAUCCUGGCUCAGGAUGAACGUUGGCGGUGUGCCUAAUACAUGCAAGUCGAACGGAGUUAGUAGCAAUACUGGCUCAGUGGCGAACGGGUGAGUAACGCGUUGGUGAUCUGCCUUGAAGUGUGGAAUAACGUUUCGAAAGGAACGCUAAUACCGCAUGUGCUCUCGAUUUUCAGAAAGUUGAGAGUAAAGGAUUUAUUCGCUUCAAGAGGAGCCUGCGUCCCAUCAGCUGGUUGGUAGGGUAACGGCCUACCAAGGCUAUGACGGGUAGGGGACCUGAGAGGGUGGCCCCCCACAAUGGAACUGAAACACGGUCCAUACACCUACGGGUGGCAGCAGUAGGGAAUAUUAGAAAUGGACGAAAGUCUGAUCUAGCAACACCGCGUGUGCGAUGAAGGCCUUCGGGUCGUAAAGCACUUUUUGGAAGGAAUAGGAAGGAAUGUACUUCCAGAAUAAGUCUCGGCUAACUACGUGCCAGCAGCCGCGGUAACACGUAGGAGGCAAACGUUAUCCGGAUUUACUGGGCGUAAAGCGCGUGUAGGUGGUACUGUAAGUAGGGCGUGAAAGCUCCUGGCUCAACUGGGAGAGGCCGUUCUAAACUACAGAACUAGAGGAUGGUAGAGGGAGGUGGAAUUCCAGGUGUAGCGGUGGAAUGCGCAGAUAUCUGGAGGAACACCGGGUGGCGAAGGCGGCCUCCUGGACCAUUCCUGACACUCAGACGCGAAAGCUAGGGUAGCAAACGGGGAUUAGAGAC
rnacentral:rRNA from 1 species